UACGUAGGGUGCGAGCGUUGUCCGGAAUUAUUGGGCGUAAAGGGCUCGUAGGCGGUUUGUCGCGUCGGGAGUGAAAACGCCGUGCUUAACACGGCGCUUGCUUUCGAUACGGGCAGACUAGAGGUAUGCAGGGGAGAACGGAAUUCCUGGUGUAGCGGUGAAAUGCGCAGAUAUCAGGAGGAACACCGGUGGCGAAGGCGGUUCUCUGGGCAUUACCUGACGCUGAGGAGCGAAAGUGUGGGGAGCAAACAGG
rnacentral:rRNA from 1 species